AACGAACGCUGGCGGCAUGCCUAACACAUGCAAGUCGAACGAGACCUUCGGGUCUAGUGGCGCACGGGUGCGUAACGCGUGGGAACCUGCCCUUAGGUUCGGAAUACCUCCCCGAAAGGGGUGCUAAUACCGGAUAAUGUCUUCGGACCUAAGAUGUAUCGCCUCUGGAUGGGCCCGCGUUGGAUUAGCUAGUUGGUAGGGUAAAAGCCUACCAAGGCGACGAGCCAGAGCUGGUCGGAGAGGAUGAUCAGCCACACUGGGACUGGGACACGGCCCAGACGCGUACGGGAGGCAGCAGUGGGGAAUAUUGGACAAGGGGCGAAAGCCUGAUCCAGCAAUGCCGGGAGAGUGAUGAAGGCGUUAGGGUUGUAAAGCUCUUUUAACCGGGAUGAUAAUGACAGAACCGGGAGAAUAAGCUCCGGCGAACUCCGU
rnacentral:rRNA from 1 species